CAUGCACAGCAAGUUAUGUGAUGCUGUUAAGAUCACUAUUAUAAAGACAUAAAAUAUAUAUUGGGAACCAUAGAACAAUGGAAGAGCUAGAACAAGCUCCAUUAAGUUGGUAAUGUUGCUAGGACUAAAUAUAUCUCAAAAAGUAAUAGUAAAACUGAAAGAUACUAAAAUCAUGAAGAAAAAACACUCCAAUAUCAUACCAUUUCUUUUUGACAUUUUCUAUUAAAUCAUAUUGAAGAACCAAGAUAAUAUGGAUGAGGA